GUUAUAUUAUAUCAAAAAAAUUAUUGUAUAUAAAAUUUUAAAGUUUAUAAAAGAAAAAGUUUUAUUUUUAGUAUUAUUGAAAAAAUUGUUUUUAUAAUAGUUUAUUAGUAUUGUGAAAGAAAUUGUUUAAUUAUAUAAAAGAAAAAUUAAGUUUUGUACCUGUGUAUCAGGGUUAAUUAAUUUUAUUAUAAGGUUUUAUUUUUCUCGAAUUUAAAAGAUUUAAUUUAUAAUAAAUUUUAUUGUAAAAUAAAUAUUUAUAAUUAUAAAUUGGAAAUGAAACGUUAUUCGUUUUUAAAUAUAUCUAGUUUUAAAAGAAAAUAGUUUAAUUAGUUUUUUUUUUUAUAAAAUUUUAAAUUUUUAAUUUUUUAUAAAAAAUAAGUUAGUUUUUUAGGGAUAAGCUUAAAAGAUAAUUUUUAUAAAAAUUUAUAUAUAAAAAUAAUUUUUAGAAUUAAAAAUUUUUAUUAUUAAUAGUAUGUUAUAGUUAAUUAUUUAAAGUAAAGUAUUUUUAUUAUUUUUUAAUUUGUUUAUUUUAAAAUAUUUUUUAAUUAGAAUAAAAAUAGAUAUUAUGAUUAAAUUAGUAUAAAUAUUUUUAAGAUUAAUUUUUAAUUAUAGGUUAGUUUUAGGAACUCGGCAAAUAUUUUCUCACCUGUUUAUUAAAAACAUGUCUUUUUGAUAAUAAUUUAAAGUCUAAUCUGCCCACUGUGAACAUAAAUGGCCGCAGUAUAUUGACUGUGCAAAGGUAGCAUAAUAAAUAGUUUAUUAAUUAUAAGCUAGUAUGAAUGAUUGAAUGAGGAAAAUUCUGUCUUAAAUUAAUUUAAAUAGAAUUUUAUUUUUAAGUUAAAAAGCUUAAAUAAAUUUUAUAGACGAGAAGACCCUAUAGAGUUUUAUAUUAAUUAUAAAUUUAUUUAUAGAUUAAAUAUAUAGAUUUAAUAUUAAGUAUUUGAUUGGGGUGAUUAAAAAAUUUAAUGAACUUUUUUUUAUUUUUAACAU
rnacentral:rRNA from 1 species